UACGUAGGGUGCGAGCGUUAAUCGGAAUUACUGGGCGUAAAGCGUGCGCAGGCGGCGCGUUAAGACAGGUGUGAAAGCCCCGAGCUUAACUUGGGAAUUGCGCUUGUGACUGGCGUGCUGGAGUGUGGCAGAGGGAGGUGGAAUUCCACGUGUAGCAGUGAAAUGCGUAGAGAUGUGGAGGAACACCGAUGGCGAAGGCAGCCUCCUGGGCCAGCACUGACGCUCAUGCACGAAAGCGGUGGGGAGCAAACAGGG
rnacentral:rRNA from 1 species